ACAAGAUGUUACUCUGAUUAUGAGACUUGUACAGACAAGGUGUUACUCUGAUUAGUGAGACCUGUAGAAACAAGUUGUUACUCUGAUUAUGAGACCUGUACAGACAAGGUGUUACUUUGAUUAGUGAGACCUGUAGAAACAAGUUGUUACUCUGAUUAUGAGACCUGUACAGACAAGUUGUUACUCUGAUUAGUAUGAUGCAUAACAUCCCAAUUUCAUGAAUCUUUAAACAGUUUCCACAAAUUGUUCCACUUUUCUCUUGUUCAUCUGUGCUAAUACAAAUAGGAUUAAUUUAAGUGAACCUGACAUCUAUAUAGUUUAUAUUUGUAUAAUAUAUGAUGUUACAUUUAUCCAUUAGUGUAAAUAACUAUGAUUAAAAUGUUUUACAUGCAGUA